rnacentral:rRNA from 1 species
AGAGUUUGAUCAUGGCUCAGAACGAACGCUGGCGGCAGGCCUAACACAUGCAAGUCGAGCGAGAAGCUACCUUCGGGUAGUGGACAGCGGCAGACGGGUGAGUAACGCGUGGGAACGUACCCUUUGGUUCGGAACAACUCCGGGAAACUGGAGCUAAUACCGGAUAAGCCCUCCGGGGGAAAGAUUUAUCGCCGAAGGAUCGGCCCGCGUCUGAUUAGCUUGUUGGUGGGGUAAUGGCCUACCAAGGCGACGAUCAGUAGCUGGUCUGAGAGGAUGAUCAGCCACACUGGGACUGAGACACGGCCCAGACUCCUACGGGAGGCAGCAGUGGGGAAUAUUGGACAAUGGGCGCAAGCCUGAUCCAGCCAUGCCGCGUGAGUGAUGACGGCCCUAGGGUUGUAAAGCUCUUUCGGCGGGGAAGAUAAUGACGGUACCCGCAGAAGAAGCCCCGGCUAACUUCGUGCCAGCAGCCGCGGUAAUACGAAGGGGGCUAGCGUUGUUCGGAAUCACUGGGCGUAAAGCGCACGUAGGCGGAUUGUUAAGUCAGGGGUGAAAUCCCGAGGCUCAACCUCGGAACUGCCCUUGAUACUGGCAAUCUUGAG